rnacentral:rRNA from 1 species
UACGUAGGGGGCAAGCGUUGUCCGGAUUUAUUGGGCGUAAAGAGCUCGUAGGUGGUUCGGUAAGUCGGAUGUGAAAUCUCCAGGCUCAACCUGGAGGGGUCAUUCGAUACUGCCGUGACCAGAGUUCGGUAGGGGAGUGUGGAAUUCCUGGUGGAGCGGUGAAAUGCGCAGAUAUCAGGAGGAACACCCAUUGCGAAGGCAGCUCGCUGGGACGUUACUGACGCUGAGACGCGAAAGCGUGGGGAGCAAACAGG